rnacentral:rRNA from 1 species
GAUGAACGCUGGCGGCGUGCUUAACACAUGCAAGUCGAACGAGAAGUGAAGACGGAACCCUUCGGGCGGAAGGCUUUAUUUCGAGUGGCGGACGGGUGAGUAACGCGUGGGUAACCUGCCUCAUACAGGGGGAUAACAGUUGGAAACGACUGUUAAUACCGCAUAAGACCACAGCACCGCAUGGUGCGGGGGUAAAAACUCCGGUGGUAUGAGAUGGACCCGCGUUCGAUUAGCCAGUUGGCGGGGUAACGGCCCACCAAAGCGACGAUCGAUAGCCGAUCUGAGAGGAUGACCGGCCACAUUGGGACUGAGACACGGCCCAAACUCCUACGGGAGGCAGCAGUGGGGAAUAUUGCACAAUGGGGGAAACCCUGAUGCAGCGACGCCGCGUGAGUGAAGAAGUAUUUCGGAAUGUAAAGCUCUAUCAGCAGGGAAGAAAAUGACGGUACCUGAGGAAGAAGCCCCGGCUAACUACGUG